AGUGGAUCCAUUUUUGUCUUUGGAGAAAAUGAAAAGAUUACAAAAUUAGCAAAAAAUGUAAAUCCAUCUUUCUCCAGCUUUUGGUGGUCAAUGUUGUAGGGAAUGGAACAAUUGUUCUGUCCAACAGCUCACAAAGGUAAGUACGUUGCUCCAUCUCUCUCCCUUGGUCUCUCCCUUCCCCUGCGUUCUCUUUGACGUGACUGGUCAGUCUCUGUGAAGUAGACGCCGGCGGCAAAACAACACCGGCAACAGGUAGGCACACUUCUCUCUCCCUCUCUUUCUUGGUCUCCCUCUCUUUUCCCCUCUCUCCCUUUCCCCCUCCCUCCCUCUCUCCCCUCUCCACUGUCAGCAGAUUUGCGAAGGCAGCAACUUGCUGGUUACUGGUCUGCGAUCGGAUUCGGCGAACUGGUUCGACGGUUCGACUGGUUCGACGGACGUCGGUGGUGAAGGCGGCGGAGCCAAAAACUUCAGGUGGGGGUCGCUACCGGAUAUUGCAACUACUGUCCAGAUUUGAGCCGACGACUUUCCGGUGAAGUGAUUCCGGCGACCCAAUUUGCCGGGUUCCAGCACAACAAACAAGAGCAGAUUACAUGAUAUACGUAUUUCGGUGACUUUUAACCCUUGAACUUUAUUUUAUCGCAUAAUUUUUCUAUAUUUUCGUUGCCUUUAAUUUGCGUGGGAUUUCCUAUCUGUGAUUUGGAUUUCUAGUAGUUCUUAAAAUUU